CGAACGCUGGCGGCGUGCUUAACACAUGCAAGUCGAACGGAAAGGCCCCUUUGGGGGUACUCGAGUGGCGAACGGGUGAGUAACACGUGAGUAACCUGCCCUUGACUUCGGGAUAACUUCAGGAAACUGGGGCUAAUACCGGAUAGGAAUCCUUGCUGCAUGGUGGGGGUUGGAAAGCUUCGGCGGUUUUGGAUGGACUCGCGGCUUAUCAGCUUGUUGGUGGGGUAGUGGCUUACCAAGGCUUUGACGGGUAGCCGGCCUGAGAGGGCGACCGGCCACAUUGGGACUGAGAUACGGCCCAGACUCCGACGGGAGGCAGCAGUGGGGAAUAUUGCACAAUGGGCGGAAGCCUGAUGCAGCAACGCCGCGGGCGGGAUGACGGCCUUCGGGUUGUAAACCGCUUUCAGCAGGGGCGAAGCUUGUGGUGACGGUACCUGCAGAAGAAGCACCGGCUAACUACGUG
rnacentral:rRNA from 1 species